GACGAACGCUGGCGGCGUGCUUAACACAUGCAAGUCGAACGAAGUGGCGAACGGGUGAGUAACGAGUAAUCAACCUGCCCUUCAGAGGGGGACAACAGUAGGAAACGACUGCUAAUACCGCAUACUGAAGGAGGGGAUUGCGUCUGAUGAGCUAGUUGGAGGGGUAACGGCCACCAAAGGCGCGGAUCAGUAGCCGGUCUGAGAGGAUGAACGGCCACAUUGGGACUGAGACACGGCCCAGACGCCGACGGGGUGCAGCAGUGGGGAAUCUUCCGCAAUGGACGAAAGUCUGACGGAGCAACGCCGCGUGAGUGAUGACGGCCUUCGGGUUGUAAAGCUCUGUUAAUCGGGACGCGGUACCGGAAUAGAAAGCCACGGCUAACUACGUGCCAGCAGCCGCGGUAAUUC
rnacentral:rRNA from 1 species